GGAAAUAAGCUCAUCAAUGUUUCUGAUUCGUUCUCUUGAUACUAUUAGUUUUUUUCCAAGAUUUAAAGUUUUUAUUUUUGCAUGAAUCCGUUUGCUCUGAUCGUCUAUCCCAUCUAAAUCUGCAACAUGGGCUAGGCCAAUCGUACGGCGAAUAAGUUCGCAACCGGCAAACCCGAUCAUGUCUUUGAAAUAUUUUUUGAGUACCUUCUCCAGGUAGCCAUCUGUUUUAGAAAAAGGCUCCUUAUUCGAAUUUGUCCAUAAACUGCUA
rnacentral:antisense_RNA from 1 species